UGCGGUCACACUGUUCAAAAGAGCGAGACGAAAAACACGGCAACACGGUGAACGGAAGACUCAGUGAAAAUUUUUCCGUGUGAUUAUCAUGUGCGCCUAACAAAAGACAAACGAUCGGGUCGCGUCAUCUGUUGUUUUGCGCCAAAUGUCUUAAAAUUCCGGCGAUAGUGCUUCCAAAAUAAGAUGGCCCUCGAGCCAUACACAAAGUCUGCUGAAAUCGAACCUCAAUUGUGCCAAGUUAUAGAGAAUAAUGAAGAUGUGACAACGAAAGCGACCAAAUGCGCGAAAUGCGCGAAAUCCAACAGCGGAGUGGACUGGCGACAAAUGCUGAUAGGCUUUCUACUGAUUUGCUUUGGCAUCUCAAACAGUUGGCAGUACAAAAAUGUUCACAUGCCCAGCUCCUCAUCCCUGAUAGCCAGCCCGCCAGCCAGCGCGUUCGUCAAUACGCCGGCCACCCUGCUCUUCACCACGCGCCACGACAUCCAGGUGGCGAACAUCACGAGGCCCACGGGCGGGCCUCAGAUCGAUGUGAUCGUUAGGGAUCUGGCCGAGGCGAUGGCCAUCGAUUUUUACUACGCAAAGAAUCUGGUCUGCUGGACGGAUUCCGGCCGGGAGAUCAUUGAGUGUGCGCAAACCAACUCCUCGGCACUGCAACCGCUUUUGCGGGCGCCCAAGCAAACUGUGAUAUCCACGGGUCUGGACAAGCCCGAGGGCCUGGCCAUCGACUGGUAUACGGACAAGAUCUACUGGACGGAUGGCGAAAAGAAUCGCAUUGAGGUGGCCACGCUGGAUGGUCGCUACCAGAAGGUGCUGUUCUGGACGGAUCUGGAUCAGCCGCGAGCGGUGGCCGUGGUUCCCGCACGCAAAUUGCUCAUCUGGACGGAUUGGGGGGAGUAUCCGAAGAUUGAGCGAGCCAGCAUGGACGGGGAUCCACUGUCCCGCAUGACGUUGGUCAAGGAGCAUGUGUUCUGGCCCAACGGACUGGCAGUAGACCUAAAGAACGAGCUUAUCUACUGGACGGAUGGCAAGCACCAUUUCAUCGAUGUGAUGAGACUUGAUGGCAGCAGCCGGCGAACGAUAGUCAACAAUCUGAAGUAUCCCUUUAGUUUGACCUUCUACGAUGAUCGUUUGUACUGGACGGAUUGGCAGAGGGGCUCCCUGAAUGCCUUGGACCUGCAAACCCGUGAACUAAAGGAGCUUAUAGACACGCCCAAGGCACCGAACUCUGUCAGAGCAUGGGAUCCCUCACUACAGCCUUAUGAGGAUAAUCCCUGUGCUCACAACAAUGGAAAUUGCUCACAUCUCUGCCUGCUGGCUACGAACUCUCAAGGAUUUAGUUGCGCCUGUCCCACCGGAGUGAAGCUAAUCUCAGCAAAUACCUGUGCCAAUGGGUCCCAGGAGAUGAUGUUCAUUGUGCAGCGAACGCAGAUUAGUAAGAUAUCCCUGGACUCACCCGAUUACACUAUAUUCCCGCUGCCUUUGGGAAAGGUUAAGUACGCAAUAGCCAUCGACUACGAUCCUGUGGAGGAGCACAUCUAUUGGUCUGAUGUGGAGACGUACACGAUUAAAAGAGCUCAUGCCGAUGGCUCCGGAGUGACCGACUUUGUGACCUCCGAGGUCAGGCAUCCCGAUGGUUUGGCACUCGAUUGGCUGGCUCGCAAUCUCUACUGGACGGAUACGGUGACGGAUCGAAUAGAGGUUUGCCGCCUGGACGGCACGGCGAGGAAAGUGUUAAUCUAUGAGCAUUUGGAGGAGCCGAGAGCCAUUGCAGUGGCUCCUUCGCUGGGCUGGAUGUUCUGGAGCGACUGGAACGAGCGCAAGCCCAAGGUAGAGCGUGCUUCUCUCGAUGGAUCCGAGCGCGUGGUUCUGGUCUCCGAGAAUCUGGGCUGGCCCAAUGGCAUUGCCUUGGAUAUUGAGGCCAAGGCCAUCUACUGGUGCGAUGGCAAGACGGACAAGAUCGAGGUGGCCAACAUGGAUGGGUCUGGUCGCCGGGUGGUAAUCAGCGACAAUCUGAAGCAUCUGUUUGGCCUGAGCAUCCUGGAUGACUACCUCUACUGGACGGACUGGCAGCGCCGCUCGAUAGAUCGCGCCCACAAGAUAACAGGCAACAAUCGGAUAGUGGUUGUUGAUCAGUAUCCGGAUUUGAUGGGCCUAAAGGUGACUCGUUUGCGGGAAGUGAGGGGCCAGAAUGCUUGUGCGGUGCGGAAUGGAGGAUGCUCGCAUCUCUGCUUGAAUCGUCCCAGAGAUUAUGUGUGCCGGUGUGCCAUUGACUACGAGCUGGCCAACGACAAGCGAACAUGUGUGGUGCCAGCUGCUUUUCUUUUGUUCUCGCGCCAGGAGCACAUUGGUCGGAUUUCUAUCGAGUACAACGAGGGUAACCACAACGACGAGAGGAUACCGUUCAAGGAUGUGCGGGAUGCACAUGCCCUGGAUGUUUCGGUGGCUGAACGAAGGAUUUACUGGACAGAUCAGAAGAGCAAAUGCAUCUUCCGGGCCUUUUUGAAUGGUUCGUACGUUCAGCGAAUUGUGGACUCCGGUCUGAUUGGUCCUGAUGGCAUCGCUGUCGAUUGGUUGGCCAAUAAUAUUUACUGGUCAGAUGCAGAGGCGCGUCGCAUUGAAGUGGCUCGCCUAGAUGGCAGCAGUCGGCGGGUGCUCCUCUGGAAAGGUGUGGAGGAGCCACGUUCCCUGGUCCUGGAACCGCGUCGCGGAUAUAUGUACUGGACGGAAUCACCGACAGAUUCAAUUCGCAGAGCGGCCAUGGACGGAUCUGACUUGCAGACCAUCGUAGCGGGUGCCAAUCAUGCCGCCGGACUAACUUUCGACCAGGAGACAAGACGUCUGUACUGGGCCACCCAAUCGCGGCCAGCUAAAAUCGAAAGUGCUGAUUGGGAUGGUAAGAAGCGGCAGAUUCUGGUUGGCAGCGAUAUGGAUGAGCCGUACGCGGUGUCCUUGUACCAGGACUAUGUGUACUGGAGCGACUGGAACACUGGGGACAUCGAGCGAGUGCACAAGACCACGGGUCAGAAUCGCAGCCUGGUGCACUCGGGCAUGACGUACAUUACCUCGCUGCUGGUGUUCAACGAUAAGCGCCAGACAGGUGUUAAUCCGUGCAAGGUGAACAAUGGAGGUUGUUCACACCUCUGCUUGGCUCAGCCCGGAAGACGGGGCAUGACCUGCGCCUGCCCCACCCACUACCAGUUGGCCAAGGACGGCGUCUCCUGUAUUCCACCCAGAAACUACAUUAUCUUCAGCCAGAGGAACAGCUUUGGGCGAUUGCUACCGAACACCACGGAUUGCCCAAAUAUUCCGCUGCCCGUCUCUGGCAAGAAUAUUCGUGCUGUGGACUACGAUCCCAUCACUCAUCAUAUUUAUUGGAUUGAGGGCAGGAGUCACAGCAUCAAGCGAUCACUUGCCAACGGAACAAAGGUCAGCUUAUUGGCCAAUUCCGGCCAGCCUUUUGACCUGGCCAUCGACAUAAUUGGGCGCCUGCUCUUCUGGACUUGCUCCCAGUCUAACAGCAUCAACGUUACUAGUUUCCUGGGCGAAUCCGUUGGCGUCAUCGACACGGGAGAUUCCGAGAAGCCUCGCAACAUUGCAGUGCAUGCCAUGAAGCGCCUGCUCUUCUGGACAGAUGUAGGUAGCCAUCAGGCUAUAAUACGUGCCCGAGUUGAUGGCAAUGAGCGCGUGGAGCUGGCUUACAAACUGGAGGGAGUAACUGCCUUAGCUUUGGAUCAGCAGUCCGAUAUGAUUUACUAUGCACAUGGCAAGCGAAUCGAUGCCAUUGACAUCAACGGGAAGAACAAAAAAACACUUGUUUCUAUGCACAUAUCGCAAGUGAUCAACAUCGCUGCCUUGGGCGGCUUUGUCUACUGGCUGGAUGACAAAACCGGUGUGGAACGAAUCACAGUCAAUGGCGAAAGACGAUCUGCUGAACUGCAGCGGCUACCUCAGAUCACCGACAUACGGGCCGUUUGGACGCCGGAUCCGAAAGUGCUGCGAAACCACACAUGCAUGCACAGUCGAACCAAGUGCUCCCACAUCUGCAUUGCCAGCGGCGAGGGAAUUGCUCGAACCCGCGACGUCUGCUCCUGCCCAAAGCAUCUCAUGCUGCUGGAGGACAAGGAGAACUGCGGCGCUUUUCCCGCCUGUGGUCCGGAUCACUUUACGUGCGCGGCUCCCGUAUCGGGAAUCAGUGACGUGAACAAAGACUGCAUCCCCGCCUCCUGGCGUUGUGACGGACAGAAGGACUGUCCGGACAAGUCAGACGAGGUGGGUUGUCCCACUUGCCGGGCUGAUCAGUUCAGCUGUCAGUCGGGCGAGUGCAUCGACAAGUCGCUGGUAUGCGAUGGCACCACCAAUUGUGCCAAUGGUCAUGAUGAAGCGGAUUGUUGCAAGCGGCCAGGGGAGUUCCAGUGCCCUAUUAAUAAGCUCUGCAUCUCGGCCGCCUUGCUCUGUGAUGGCUGGGAGAACUGCGCCGAUGGAGCCGAUGAAUCCUCCGAUAUCUGCCAGCAGCGCCGCAUGGCUCCUGCUACCGACAAACGUGCCUUUAUGAUUUUGAUCGGCGCUACCAUGAUCACCAUAUUUUCGAUUGUCUAUUUGCUGCAGUUCUGCCGCACGCGGAUUGGAAAAAGUCGAACGGAGCCCAAGGAUGAUCAGGCCACUGAUCCGUUGUCGCCCUCGACGCUGAGCAAAUCGCAAAGGGUUUCCAAAAUCGCUUCCGUGGCGGAUGCCGUACGCAUGUCUACUCUGAACUCCCGCAACAGCAUGAACUCCUACGAUCGCAAUCAUAUCACAGGCGCUUCGAGUUCAACGACGAAUGGUAGCAGUAUGGUGGCGUAUCCGAUCAAUCCACCACCGUCGCCGGCAACCAGAUCGCGUCGUCCGUACAGGCACUACAAGAUCAUCAAUCAGCCACCACCGCCCACACCCUGCUCCACGGACAUUUGUGAUGAGUCUGACUCGAACUAUACGAGCAAAUCGAACAGCAAUAACAGUAAUGGGGGGGCCACAAAGCAUUCUUCCAGUUCGGCGGCCGCCUGCUUGCAAUAUGGCUACGAUAGUGAGCCGUAUCCGCCGCCGCCGACACCACGCUCCCAUUACCACAGCGAUGUGCGCAUUGUGCCGGAAUCCUCCUGCCCGCCAUCGCCGUCAUCGCGGAGCUCCACGUACUUCUCGCCGCUCCCGCCCCCGCCAUCACCAGUACAGUCGCCCAGUCGAGGAUUUACGUAACAUUUUGAGAGUUACAUGUAAAUUGAGAGGAGGAGCAACAUAUCACUUCUUUGCCAAGCUUUUCGUCUUAUAAUUUUUUUAUUUUCCCAAUUCUAAUUGCUACAACUGAUUUGUAAAUAUCUUAGAGAGAGCGUCCAUGCCUGAAGGACUUAUUCGAUCUCGUUAAGUUUCAUUUUGCCAGAUAGCCCGAAAUAGAUUGCAGUACAAUGCUUUGCAGCUACCAUACGCAACAAUAGACUGCAGAUUAUUAGUAAUUACCUUAGGUCUAAACGAUGUAAUAUUCGAUAAGUGAGUCUUUUGAAAUUCCGUGUGCCAAAUUUUCCGAAACCUGACAGAAAAUUCACAAUUGGUUAAAACCGAAAUACGCAAUUUUGAUUUAAAUGCAUUUAACACCUAGACUUAGUUUAAUAUUUAGUUUAAAAGUGUAAAUAGAUAACUAUAUUAUGAAGCAAUAUUGACAAAUAUGCGACUAAUUCAACUGUCUUCUUAAUUGUUAUAAACACCAAAAAGUGCCUCAUUAA
rnacentral:misc_RNA from 1 species